rnacentral:rRNA from 1 species
GGCGACGGGUGAGUAACACGUGGGCAAUCUGCCCUUCACUCUGGGACAAGCCCUGGAAACGGGGUCUAAUACCGGAUAACACUCUGUCCCUCAUGGGACGGGGUUAAAAGCUCCGGCGGUGAAGGAUGAGCCCGCGGCCUAUCAGCUUGUUGGUGGGGUAAUGGCCUACCAAGGCGACGACGGGUAGCCGGCCUGAGAGGGCGACCGGCCACACUGGGACUGAGACACGGCCCAGACUCCUACGGGAGGCAGCAGUGGGGAAUAUUGCACAAUGGGCGAAAGCCUGAUGCAGCGACGCCGCGUGAGGGAUGACGGCCUUCGGGUUGUAAACCUCUUUCAGCAGGGAAGAAGCGAAAGUGACGGUACCUGCAGAAGAAGCACCGGCUAACUACGUGCCAGCAGCCGCGGUAAUACGUAGGGUGCGAGCGUUGUCCGGAAUUAUUGGGCGUAAAGAGCUCGUAGGCGGCUUGUCACGUCGGAUGUGAAAGCUCGGGGCUUAACCCCGAGUCUGCAUUCGAUACGGGCUAGCUAGAGUGUGGUAGGGGAGAUCGGAAUUCCUGGUGUAGCGGUGAAAUGCGCAGAUAUCAGGAGGAACACCGGUGGCGAAGGCGGAUCUCUGGGCCAUUACUGACGCUGAGGAGCGAAAGCGUGGGGAGCGAACAGGAUUAGAUACCCUGGUAGUCCACGCCGUAAACGUUGGGAACUA